rnacentral:lncRNA from 1 species
CACCAGACGCACCCUCGUGGCCAACAGCCCUCGUUUAGGCACGGCUGGUACUUCUUUGGCAGGACACCGGACGCUUGUGCGGCCAGCUGGGCUCUGCCAGCUCCAUCCCAAAAUAGACCCCCGAGGAACGUGCCCCUCCGAGGGGGCCCAGAUGGCCCAUGGAGGAGUCAGAUGAGGAUGGGGAGGACAACGAGGAGUUUCUGGAGAGGCUGAUAGCACAGACAGGCCGGGAGAUGCCGCAGCGGGAGCUGGAGGAGCACUACGCCGUGCUGGAGGAGCUGGGCAGCGGGACCUACGGCCGCGUGGUGCUGACAGAGCCCCUGGAUGGUGAUUCUGAAAAACUCCUUUUGACUCAGCUGUGAGCCCAUCCUGAAUUUAAAGCAAAGUACCUGCCUAUCCUCAGUGACCAUCAGGAAUGGAUUUCUUUUUAAAAUUAAAUAUUCAUUAAAAUAUCGAUUGCAAUAUUUAAUAGUAUUUUUUAAUCACUCUA